rnacentral:rRNA from 1 species
UACGUAGGGUGCAAGCGUUAAUCGGAAUUACUGGGCGUAAAGCGUGCGCAGGCGGUUUGGUAAGACAGAUGUGAAAUCCCCGGGCUCAACCUGGGAACUGCAUUUGUGACUGCAUGGCUAGAGUACGGUAGAGGGGGAUGGAAUUCCGCGUGUAGCAGUGAAAUGCGUAGAUAUGCGGAGGAACACCGAUGGCGAAGGCAAUCCCCUGGACCUGUACUGACGCUCAUGCACGAAAGCGUGGGGAGCAAACAGG